GAUGAACGCUGGCGGCGUGCCUAAUACAUGCAAGUCGAGCGAACGGACGAGAAGCUUGCUUCUCUGAUGUUAGCGGCGGACGGGUGAGUAACACGUGGAUAACCUACCUAUAAGACUGGGAUAACUUCGGGAAACCGGAGCUAAUACCGGAUGAUAUUUUGAACCGCAUGGUUCAAAAGUGAAAGACGGUCUUGCUGUCACUUAUAGAUGGAUCCGCGCUGCAUUAGCUAGUUGGUGAGGUAACGGCUUACCAAGGCAACGAUGCAUAGCCGACCUGAGAGGGUGAUCGGCCACACUGGAACUGAGACACGGUCCAGACUCCUAAGGGAGGCAGCAGUAGGGAAUCUUCCGCAAAGGGCGAAAGCCUGACGGAGCAACGCCGCGUGAGUGAUGAAGGUCUUCGGAUCGUAAAACUCUGUUAUUAGGGAAGAACAUAUGUGUAAGUAACUGUACACAUCUUGACGGUACCUAAUCAGAAAGCCACGGCUAACUACGUG
rnacentral:rRNA from 1 species